rnacentral:rRNA from 1 species
CCUACGGGAUGCAGCAGUGGGGAAUAUUGGACAAUGGGCGAAAGCCUGAUCCAGCAAUGCCGCGUGUGUGAAGAAGGUCUUCGGAUUGUAAAGCACUUUAGACGGGGACGAUGAUGACGGUACCCGAAGAAGAAGCCCCUGCUAACUUCGUGCCAGCAGCCGCGGUAAUACGAAGAGGGCUAGCGUUGCUCGGAAUGACUGGGCGUAAAGGGCGCGUAGGCGGUUUAUGCAGUCAGAUGUGAAAUCCCCGGGCUUAGCCUGGGAACUGCAUUUGAGACGCAUAGACUAGACGUCGAGAGAGGGUUGUGGAAUUCCCAGUGUAGAGGUGAAAUUCGUAGAUAUUGGGAAGAACACCGGUGGCGAAGGCGGCAACCUGGCUCGAUACUGACGCUGAGGCGCGAAAGCGUGGGGAGCAAACAGGAUUAGAUACCCCUGUAGUC